rnacentral:rRNA from 1 species
GAUUUCUGGACUCUUGAACUUGGCCGGCCACGGUUUCGUGUGUUAGUGCUUUGUUCUGUGUCCAUCCUUCCAAUCGCUGCGUGUCGCUCUUCAUUGAGUGGCGUCGUAGUAUUGGAUCUUUUACUUUGAAAAAAUUAGAGUGUUUCAAGCAGGCUUUUUGCUAUGAAUACAUUAGCAUGGAAUAAUAAUUUAGGACUUCGGUUCUAUUUUGUUGGUUUCUAGGACUGAAGUAAUGAUUGAUAGGGAUAGUUGGGGGUGCUAGUAUUCAGCGGCCAGAGGUGAAAUUCUUGGAUUCGCUGAAGACUAACUUAUGCGAAAGCAUU